GCGGUCGUCGUCCAGUCUGGCCUAGGACAUCAGCCUUCCAAGCUGACGACCCGGGUUCAAAUCCCGGCGACCGCACCA
rnacentral:tRNA from 1 species